rnacentral:rRNA from 1 species
AAAAGUCGUAACCAAGGUCUCCGUAGGUGAACCUGCGGAGGGAUCAUUACACAAAUAUGAAGGCGGGCUGGAACCUCUCGGGGUUACAGCCUUGCUGAAUUAUUCACCCUUGUCUUUUGCGUACUUCUUGUUUCCUUGGUGGGUUCGCCCACCACUAGGACAAACAUAAACCUUUUGUAAUUGCAAUCAGCGUCAGUAACAAAUUAAUAAUUACAACUUUCAACAACGGAUCUCUUGGUUCUGGCAUCGAUGAAGAACGCAGCGAAAUGCGAUAAGUAGUGUGAAUUGCAGAAUUCAGUGAAUCAUCGAAUCUUUGAACGCACAUUGCGCCCCUUGGUAUUCCAAAGGGCAUGCCUGUUCGAGCGUCAUUUGUACCCUCAAGCUUUGCUUGGUGUUGGGCGUCUUGUCUCUAGCUUUGCUGGAGACUCGCCUUAAAGUAAUUGGCAGCCGGCCUACUGGUUUCGGAGCGCAGCACAAGUCGCACUCUCUAUCAGCAAAGGUCUAGCAUCCAUUAAGCCUU